GGGAGAGCAUGGAAAUGGGAGGGCACACAAUCCACCUCCGACUUUCUCCCUUUUCGCCAGCCCCUCUUUUGCUCUCAAAUCCUUGCUCUUUCUUUUGCAAAAUAGUCUCAGAAGAGAUCCUGGGUUUAUCGAAUCCUUUGUUGUUGGGCGUUUUGUUCUCAUCUUGCGAUCGUCGGGGCAGCAGCUUUAAGGUUUUGACAAGUUUUUUGUGAAAUUGGUGCUGUCAGUGGGUGUUAACAUCAGGUACCCAUGUUCAGUUUUUCGUUUUGAUUUGAAGGAAUUUCUUGCGCAGAAGAGCUAGGGUUUCUUGGUGAGUUCUUCGGGUUUUUCAUAUGGGUGAGCUUGGAUAUCCAAAGAAAAAGAACAGUUGGUUCAUCUGCUGGAGUCUGAAGCUCAGAGAAGUGGAGGAAAAUUGCAGACUUGCGAUCGGCGGUCAAACAUUUUGUGAUUCUUGUUUUCUCUGCCUUUCGGUCGUUAAGCGCCGGCAGUCUUUAGAUCUUUGGCAAAUCAAUUUAAUACAACCGAGUUGUGGUCCUCUGUUAGGAUUUUCCUGGCUAAGAGGGUAUUUGCGUUUUUGUUGCUUGGUUGGUCGAUCACAGAUUUACGAACAGCUGUGGUGGUCCUGUUAUUUUUUUGGUUGUGUUUGUGCUGGGACAACAUUUUCCACCUUCUGUUUGCACUGGGAUGAUUGCGUUUUAAAACUGUUGGGUUGAUGGAAAACAGAGCUCUUACUCCUAUCAAUCAGAUGGUCCCGUACAUAAAUGCAGAAAAAUCAAGGUUCGAGUUUGCAGAGUAUGCAGACCAAGGUUUCCCGAAACUACUGGUGCAUAUUCAGGCUUGCAUUGUAUAUUACUUACCUAUUAAAAAUUUGUUUGGAAUUUGCUUUUCCCACAGAGGAGAAGAGCUGACAGUUACGCUGUGGGCAGAUGUUGCUCGAAGUAUUGCUUCUUUAUCCAUUGAAUCAUUGUCUCUGCCGAUCAUUGUGGUUUUCACAAGUUUAAAGGUCAAGCUGUACCUAGACAAGAUAGUCUUGAACACCAUUGGUUCAUCACUUUUCUUCAUUGAUCUAGAUAUUCUGGAAGUAAAUUCAUACAAAUCAGUCUUUUCCAAAUGCACAGAACCUCUAAAAAUACUGCCACCUUUUACAAAACAGGCCCGUGAAGCUCAAAUCUUGCAGACAGCGAAGUUUUGCAGGCGAUGAUCUUUUACCAAAUGUCGAGGAGCUUCCAUGGGACAUGCUCUAUGCUCUCGCUUCCCAGUUGCCUCUGUUGGGGUUGGAAAAGCUACAGAUCACAAUGUAAGUCAAAAACAGUAAAGUUCCCAAGAUGUUCUGUGCUGGAGCAGAUUUAAAGGGGUUGUUCAGGUUAGGUUGGAGAGGUUGGAGGUGAGAAAUGCAAUUGGGAAAGAUACGCUGAGAGUUUUACAGAACACCUUUGAAGCUGUCAGUGAGGAUUCUUCUGCUAAUGUUUUGUUGAUCAGCAGUAAAGUUCCCAAGAUGUACUGUGCUGUAGCAGAUUUAAAGUUGGUCAGGCACUGAAGGACCGGUCAAUACGAAGUGCAUCUGUGGGACAAUAGUUGAAAGAAGGCCAGAGCAGGAAGAGAAGGCAAGGUUUGUGAAGAAAAACAGUGAUGUGUUUAAUUAGAAGAAAUGUGCAUUUUUUUUUCCCAGUCAAAUUCUGCUUUUGUUCUGACUAUUUUCCUUACUGUAUGCUGAUUUUAUUAUUUAAUUUUUGGUUUUUCCUUGAUUGGCUUGGGAAUUACAAUCAAAUGAUGAAUCUUCAG